ensembl:snoRNA SNORA62 Small nucleolar RNA SNORA62/SNORA6 family
UCUGCAAUCUGGGGGGAAUAAUAUUCUUACCUCCACUGGCUGGUCUAUGAACUCCCAAGUGUAGAUAGUGUGCUUCAUGAGGGGCAGGUUUUCUACUAACACCGCAAAGGUCUCUCGCCCAGUGAGUGGCAUUGGAUAGUAAUUCUUGCUGCGAGU